GACGAACGCUGGCGGCGUGCUUAACACAUGCAAGUCGAACGGAAAGGCCUGCUUUCCCUUGUGGAUUGCGGGUACUCGAGUGGCGAACGGGUGAGUAACACGUGAGUGAUCUGCCCCCAACUUGGGUAUAAGCCUGGGAAACUGGGUCUAAUUCCCGAUAGGACUGCAGGGUGGUGUCUGUGGUGGAAAACGAGUUUCUAGUGGUUGGGGAUGAGCUCGCGGCCUAUCUGCUUGUUGGUGGGGUAAUGGCCUACCAAGGCGGCGACGGGUAGCCGGCAUGGGAGGGUGGACGGCGACAUUGGGCCUGAGACACGGCCCAGACGCCGACGGGAGGCAGCAGUGGGGAACAGUGCACAAUGGGCGGAAGCCUGAUGCAGCGACGCCGCGUGGGGGAUUACGGCCUUCGGGUUGUAAUCUCCUGGCGACCGCGAGGAAGCCACCUGGUUGGAAGGGUGUUGACGGUAGUGGUAGAAGAAGCACCGGCUAACUACGU
rnacentral:rRNA from 1 species